CUCUAGUUAAUGAUAAGGGCUGAUAAGUAUCUGGUAGUUCUUUCUCCUAGUAGGUAACUUGUUUUGUUGUGGGUCUGUUUUAUAUUGGUUUUUACCAUAACAUGUUUGAUUGGAAUUAAAUAGAUCAAGAUUCAUCUUAUUUGUGUUUUAACUUUAUGAAAACAUUAAUUUUAUACAUAGAUCUUCCGUUCUUUCUUUCUUUUUUUUUUUUUUUUUGAAAAUUAGCUAUUGGGCAUAAUUAUGCUGUCUUUGUUAGUCUCUCAGUAAAAGUACCUUAUGCUUUCACCACAGAGAUAUGUCCUCUUUCUUUUUUUCAGAGAUCACCCAGAAAAUGAGUGAAAUCUCUUCAGUUAUGCCACUUCAGAAGGCAGGAUCAUCAAUCUCGAUGUCAAUCUUCUAUCUUGGCAAGAAGGCACAGUCCAAUGGAAAAGUUUUGAAAAUGUACAUGGCUAGUUUCAAAGACAACUCCAACACUCCAGCCUUCAGGUAACAAACACAACACAACCACCAAGUAAAUGUCCCUGGAAUGAUGCCAAUCAAAAACCUCUGUGUCCAACAGAUGCUGAGCAAACAGUGAGAAUGUGCUCACUGAAGAGGCUG
rnacentral:lncRNA from 12 species